CAGCUGUCUGCCAUCAGCAUUUCUUGGGAGAACUUUUCAGCGACAUCUGAGCCAAAUUUCUGUGGGAGUGGAGAAGAAAGAGGAAAGGAUUGAAAGUGUUGUUUUGAAAAUUGGAAGCCGAUGGUCUUACUCAGUCCUCUGUCUUCAGGACCUGCAGUAAAAGAUUUAAAGAUAUUUAACCACUGGAUGAAAUGUGCCUGGGCACCCCGACAGAGACCAGAAAUGCACAAUAAAGAACAAUGCUUCUGUCGUGAAGUUAUUUACAGUGUAUAAACUUGGAGCUCAAUGAGGUAAAUGGGGAAGCUGGAAUUCACAAACAUCACUGCAAAUCCCAUCAACAGUUAAAGACAACAGGUCUGAAACGCUCCUCAGUGUGUAUGAAACUGACUGUGCAAACACUAAACAGUCACUUUGGGUAAAAUGACAUUUGCAACUUAGAGGCAAGGAUAGUUACAGAAAUUAUUCCAUUUGAGCAAAUUCACCUUUACCAGAAAGACCCUACUGAGUCAUUUGAAACUUCAUAUCUGACAAGGGAGUGGGAAAACCAGCUAAGAGCACCCUGAAGCAACCAGGAUCUCUUGGUCAAGUGCAAGAGCUGGGUUGUAACAACAAAAGGGGCUGCUACGUGGCAACUGAUGAGAAGCAGGAGCGUGUUUGGCUUACAGCAGCACUAAAGUAAACAGGUAAGAGCGCUGGGCUGG
rnacentral:lncRNA from 1 species